rnacentral:tRNA from 1 species
UGGGCUCGUUGUCUAACUUGGUUAGGAUCCGAGGUUCGGGGCCUCGUGGUCCCGGUUCAAAUCCGGGCGGGCUCAA